GAUUCUGAGACACGAAUCCAGGCCCUACGGGGUGCAGCAGGCGCGAAAACUUUACAAUGCCGGCAACGGCGAUAAGGGGACCUCGAGUGCCAGGUUACAAAUCUGGCUGUCGUGAUGCCUAAAAAGCAUUGCAUAGCAAGGGCCGGGCAAGACCGGUGCCAGCCGCCGCGGUAACACCGGCGGCUCGAGUGGUAACCGUUAUUAUUGGGUCUAAAGGGUCUGUAGCCGGCCGGAUAAGUCUCUUGAGAAAUCCAGCAGCUCAACUGUUGGGCUUUCAGGAGAUACUGUUCGGCUCGAGGCCGGGAGAGGUGAGAGGUACUUCAGGGGUAGGGGUGAAAUCUUGUAAUCCUUGAAGGACCACCAGUGGCGAAGGCGUCUCACCAGAACGGACCUGACGGCAAGGGACGAAAGCUAGGGGCACGAACCGGAUUAGAUACCCGGGUAGUCCUAGCCGUAAACGAUACUCGCUAGGUGUCGGCCACGGUGCGACCGUUGUCGGUGCCGUAGGGAAGCCGUGAAGCGAGC
rnacentral:rRNA from 1 species